rnacentral:rRNA from 1 species
UCCGUAGGUGUUGUUCCCCGAGGCUCGCCUACGGAAGUCCCCAGCAGCGACUCUAAACAAGUGCUCCGAGUCUGCCUCCGGGCGGGCGACGCCUUCCUUCUGCCCUGGGAGGGCCCUCCACCGGGCCCACCAGCAGCUUUUGCAAGCUCACAGAUCAGACGAAUGCGGCCACUGCGGUGGUUUUGAUAUGACCGGCCGUGGCUGUCACCAGCCAUUGACGAUGCGGAACCUGCGGAAGGAUCAUUAAAGAGAGGGGCUUCGCGCCCCAGGGGACCCCGGUCCCCGCCUCUACAUCCCGUGAUUACCUUACCUCUUGUUGCCUUGGCGGGGGGUUACCCCGCCAGCAGCCCACCGAAACUCGUUUGAUCCAUGUCCGUCUGAACCGAAUUCAUAAUGAAUCAAAACUUUCAACAACGGAUCUCUUGGUUCUGGCAUCGAUGAAGAACGCAGCGAAAUGCGAUAAGUAAUGUGAAUUGCAGAAUUCAGUGAAUCAUCGAAUCUUUGAACGCACAUUGCGCCCCUCGGUAUUCCGGGGGGCAUGCCUGUUCGAGCGUCAUUACAUCACUCAAGCGUAGCUUGGUAUUGGGUCCUUCGCCCGGGGCUCCCCCGCGGCGUGCCCGAAAAGCAUUGGCGGUCCGGUGUGACUUGAAGCGUAGUAAAUUUUCUCCCGCUUUGCAAGCCUCGCGCCGUGGCCGGCCAGACAACCCCAUUAGUACCUCACGAUUGACCUCGGAUCAGGUAGGGAUACCCGCUGAACUUAAGCAUAUCAAUAAGCGGUGCUCCGAGUCUGCCUCCGGGCGGGCGACGCCUUCCUUCUGCCCUGGGAGGGCCCUCCA